rnacentral:rRNA from 1 species
UACGAAUGGUGCAAGCGUUGUUCGGAAUCACUGGGCGUAAAGGGUGCGUAGGUGGUUUGUUAAGUCAGGUGUGAAAGCCCUCGGCCCAACCGGGGAACUGCAUUUGAUACUGGCAAACUUGAGAGUGCGAGAGGAAAGCGGAAUUCCAGGUGUAGCGGUGGAAUGCGUAGAUAUCUGGGAGAAGGCCGGAGGCGAAGGCGGCUUUCUGGCGCACAUCUGACACUGAGGCACGAAAGCGUGGGGAGCAAACAGGAUUAGAUACCCUGGUAGUCCACGCCGUAAACGAUGGAUACUAAGUAGAGGGACUCCUGAUGUCUCUUUGCUGUAGCUAACGCGUUAAGUAUCCCGCCUGGGGAGUACGGUCGCAAGGCUAAA